GUAAUGGGCCGCUUGAUACUCGGGUUUCGACACUGUGUCGAGCUUCAAAGCCCCUGUCGCUACCCGAUCUGCGGUGCCUACCCGAUUUGCGCGCACAUGCGCACGCAUGCGCAGAGCUUUACUAUUACGACCCUGCACGAUCUGCGUUUUUUUUACUUUGCGACACGAGUCCCCAUCCGAUUUGUCUUGCACACACGCUCUCUGCUUAAUUAAAAUUAAUUUCACGACACUGCCCGAUUUGUUCUGCGCAUGUCUAAUGUUUUACGACACAC